GAGAUUGGACAUGUUUCGAAAGUUCGAAUAGACUUGGAUGAUAAUAUAUACUUUGAUGACAGAACAACUUAUUUUGUAAAUAUUUUGGUUUAUAAUGGUGCCGGUCUCUCAGCUGUGUACAGUUGUAACGUUUCCACAAUUCUUUCACCGCCUGAUGUGUCCACUACUGAUUCACAAAUAAUGCAUUCCUUGGAAUUUGAUAACCAAACAGGUGUUGUGUUUAUGGGCUCACUAGACCGAUUUGGGGUCAAAUGGAACACCAAGCGUUAUAUUUAUGAUGCCGAGUUAUAUAAAUGGCAAAUGGGCACUUACAAAGACGGCGCCGAUAUAAUUCCAAAAACUAUCAUAGGACUGACUAAAGAAGGAAGUGCCCAAGUAAUUGGUGGAGAAUUGUGGUUAAAUGGCAACAAGACAGGGAAAUCUAUAGCUUCACUAUCCCAAAAUAUUUGGCGAAAUUUAACCAACAAAGAGAUAAUCAAAACAGAAAGCGAUUUCCAGUUUUUUAUGGAACCUGGGCGAUGUGUUUAUCUUUCUUUAAUUGCAGUUGGAUAUUCUCAUUUGGAAGCUAAUAUCUCAACUAAUCAACUCUGUUUCAUAAGGAAAGACAAAGAUUUGGUUAUUCAUAAACAUUCUAAAAUCUCAACAAUAAUUGGAUGGAUUUCUGAUGACAAAUUUGAGGAAUUACAGCAUGUAAAUGGAAAUGAAAUAGUUGUAAUUCAGCUAAGAGGUUAUGUUUUGGGUGUUACUGUUGGAACUUUAUCCGAUUUUGAUCUCACCACGGAAUAUGGAUCAGCUUCAUCUUAUCGCUUUAGAAAGUAUAUCAUCAAUCCUCACACUACAAGCUGGUCGUCCACGCGGGAAAUUCGAAAAAGAAUUUUAAAACCGAUUGGAAUCAACUUUUUUAUUGCCCCUACUCCGGAAAUGGAUGUCGAAAGAAUUGAAGUUCACAUCAAAAUCAAUCCACAAGACUUUGAAUAUAACACAGUUCCAGCUCUUCUCAUAUGGGAUAGUUACACCUUUAAUUCCAAAACAAAAACAUAUGGAAUAUGGCGUCAUGUGGAGGAAAAUUGUGGAGAAGACAUUACAAAACCUAAAAUUGAAGGAACAAUAUACAAAGCUAAGAUAUGUAUGCACGUCUUCCAAAUGCCAUCAAGGAAAAAAAGAUCAACAAUAAUAAAAUUAAUUAUUCCUUACCAAUUUACGCUAACAGCUAUGAAUGUAUCGUACUACAACUCCCCACCUGUAAUAGAUAUCGAAACAAUAGUGACAAAAGAAGAUACACCGAUUAUCAACUUCCGAAUACCUUAUCAUGAUGAUGACCUUGAUUCUGUUCAAUUCUUCCUAAUUCAAAAACCCAAAACUGGAUUUGCAAAUCUGUCACUUGAUGGAAAAUUGACUUACUUACCAAAACAAGAUUUCUUUGGGAACGAAAGUAUAACAAUUCAACUUCGAGAUGAUGCCAGAUUACCAGCGGUAAUCGAGAAAAGUAUUAUCAUUAGUGUAACGGCAGUUAAUGAUAUGCCAGUGUUUGGUUUUCUAUACAAUAGUACAACAUUUGAUGUAAUGGCGAACAAAAGUUUAGAGCUGCGAUUUGAAGGCAACGCAACGUCGCACUAUAUGUUUGAUUUCGGCUUUGGAGAUGUUGACCAGAAUGAAACCUUAUCGUUUUUGUCAACUGUCACCAACCCUAACGAAGUAAAUGUCAAAAUAAUUCGGAAUAGUGCAUUACCAUUCAUUCCAGACUUGUUUGGAAAAAAAGACCUUUUUACACAUCAAGAAUAUUCUGCAGAAAUGGUACUUGACAAAGAUUUUCACGGAGACUUCUUUUUUUACAUUUUAGGAUAUGACAACCAAAACUUCUACACUGAACGAUUAGAAACUCAUAUCUAUAUUUUAUUAGCACCAUGUGACCAUGGUAUUUGCUCUCCUAAAUUCAAUGAUUCUCCACCAUGUAAUGAUAUCUCUAGAGCUACUUCUUUUGAUUUAUACAAAUGUAUCUGCUACCCGGGAUAUACUGGUACAUGGUGUGAGAAUGAAAUAAAUGAGUGCCUGCAGCAGCCUUGUAGAGUUUUGGAAAACUGCAUUGAUCAGAUAAAUAAUUACAAAUGUGAGAUGAAGAUAGUAGCACUUAUAGGUAUGAUUUUGUUUGGAUUCAUUCUAUUUAUAAUAUUGAUAAUCGCUAUUUGUAUCAACAUAAGGAUGAAACAGAAAAUUCCUGCUGGUGAGGAGAACAUUGAAGUUGCAGAUUUUUCCGACGGAGAGAUAGACCAAUAAAUCACACUAAACACGAUAUUUGCACAAGUUAUUGUGGAAAUGAUUCUGUGUAGGUGAACUUCAAAAGUUACUAAAAUGGUGCAAAAUGAAACGGAAAAGAAAUCUAUCAAAAAUGAUGUUUAAUGUAUAUAAUGCCAAAAUUAUUUUGUAUAUUUGUCUUACUUUCAUUGUGUCAAUUAUUACAUGUCCAAUGAAACACACAUAUUUAAUAUAACCAAAACGUUUUUUGAAUCAUAAACUAUGUAUUUUUAAAGUGUACAUUGCAGAAUGGUUUAUUUCAUUCUUUCCUUAAUUUUUUUAGAAUAAAAUAUGUCAUUUCGU
rnacentral:misc_RNA from 1 species